rnacentral:rRNA from 1 species
CCUACGGGCGGCAGCAGUGAGGAAUAUUGGUCAAUGGGCGGAAGCCUGAACCAGCCAAGCCGCGUGAAGGAAGAAGGUGCCAAGUAUUGUAAACUUCUUUUGUCAAGGGACAAAGUCAGGGACGAGAGUCCGAAUGAGGGUACUCGAAGAAAAAGCAUCGGCUAACUCCGUGCCAGCAGCCGCGGUAAUACGGAGGAUGCGAGCGUUAUCCGGAUUUAUUGGGUUUAAAGGGUGCGUAGGCGGGCGGUGAAGUCAGCGGUAAAAGCUCGGGGCUCAACCCCGGCUGGCCGUUGAAACUGGCUUUCUAGAGAUGGCGAGAGGUAUGCGGAAUGCGCGGUGUAGCGGUGAAAUGCAUAGAUAUUGCGAAGAACUCCGAUUGCGAAGGCAGCAUACCGGCGGCAUACUGACGCUGAGGCACGAAAGCGUGGGGAUCGAACAGGAUUAGAUACCCUUGUAGUC